AUACGUAGGGAGCGAGCGUUGUCCGGAAUUACUGGGCGUAAAGGGCGCGUAGGCGGCGCUUCAAGUCGUCUGUCAAAUGGGAGGGCUUAACCCUUUUUCGCCGCCGACACUGGAGAGCUUGAGACGCUGAGAGGCAAACAGACUUCCUGGUGUAGCGGUGAAAUGCGUAGAUAUCAGGAAGAAUACCAGUGGCGAAGGCGGUUUGCUGGCGGCAUAAUGACGCUGAAGCGCGAAAGCCAGGGGAGCAAACGGGAUUAGAUACCCCGGUAGUCCUGGCAGUAAACGAUGUAUGCUGGGUGUGAGACUAGCGAUAGUUUCGUGCCGAAGUUAACGCGAUAAGCAUACCGCCUGGGGAGUACGGUCGCAAGAUUGAAACUCAAAUGAAUUGGCGGGG
rnacentral:rRNA from 1 species